ensembl:lncRNA
AAGGAUUCUGUAGACACUGAGCCCAUUGUAGAGAGCUGUGGGACCCAGAGAUUUUCAUGAGAGUGAACAUGCCCUUCGAGAUCAAAGCAGAUUGUCUUCUAAGAGGCGUCCAGUGGGCGAUCCUCUGAAAAGUGACCCACUGUUCAGCAUAGCUCUUUCCAGCACACUGAAUUGGAGCCAGCUGGUGCCUGGAACGUACCUUAGCAAGAUUGUAUCCUCUGGGCCUAGUCAGUCAGUGCUUGCUGUUUCUGAGAAGGAUAUUCAUGAGCUGCUGCACUUCAGGGAUACUAAUUGGGAUUUGACGUGAAAUUUUUACCCUGACAUGUGCAUCACCUAAGGAGGAUGGCAACAACUGGCAUCAAGCAAAAAUGAAGAAACUGAAGCCAGAGAAUUUAAGUAAUUUGUCCAAGGUGACAUGUUUACUAUGUGGUGAAGCCACGAACUGAGCCCAAUUCAGAUACCAUUCAAAGACAUUCUAAAGGCAAGCGAAUUCAAUAUAUGCCUUUCCCCAGGGCGAGAGGCUCACAAAGCAGAAGGAAUGUCAUUUUUCAGCCGACAGAAAUAGAGCUUUUUGUCUGCAAUAGUCACUUGCAACAGGAAGCACUCUUCAGAGGUUGUUGCUCUUGACCAAGACUAUGGAUGAAGUGGAUACAAGGCUAUACCCUGAGCACUUCCUUGGGGAAGAAACAACAUGGGGAGCUGUUUGCCUGCUCUUUGGAGGUUUUUGUCUGCAGGUGUGAAGGCACCGUUUGCCUAUUUUGGUAGAGCCUGCCUCCUGACUUCCUAACCAUUAUCUACCCAGGUGACUAUAUUCUCUGCCAAGGAUCUCUGCAUUGCACUGGCCUGGCUCCAGACUUCCUGAAUCUGGCUACAACAAAAGCAACAGUCCCCUAAAAGGAGCCUUUUAGUCAAUGGUUUAAAUUCCUGGUUUUCUGUCCCUCAAGGGACAAUGAAAGGGGCCUGACCUCUUGGUCACCUCAAGAAGGUUUGGAGUUCUCUGGAAAGAGGAGAAAGACAACCUUUUAACAGUUUGAUUGGAUAGCUGGAGUCACUACACAGGCACAGAAAAAAGACUGAAGAGAAAUAAGGUGGAAAAUUUAACUGUAUGGUGAAAUUUCAGGUGAUCUCCUUUUACUCUUUGUAAAAUUCUCUACAAUAAGCAUGUGUUUUAAAAACCACUAAAAAAUAAUGUUAAAAUAUGCACCCAAAACCUGAACACAGUAAAAUACUUUAAGUAUGUGCUUAUGUACAAAAAUUCCAAACAAAUCAAGGUUGUCAGAAAUCACAAAAGAUAAUUUAAUUCAAAUUAAAGAUGUGAGCUAUUAUCAUUUUCAGAUAUUUACAGAAUAGACUAGCAGGACUGAACUGUUUGUGGACGAGACAUGAUAACUUUGUUUCCUGCUGUGUCAGUUGUUUCUCUGUCUUUAACCAAGAUUAUAUUUCCAGAAUAUCUACUUCUCCAUUUAUCCUGCCUUUUAUUUUUCCAUGGUUGCAAUCUCCUGUAAUUAUGGGAAAAAGUCUUUCCUGGAGCAGCAGCUCUGAGAUUAGCUAGUUUGGAGCCAACCUGAGUAUUCCCAAUUGGUGCUCAUUAUCUUCUUUGUAAGAACACAGUUUUCAGGACAGAGUUAGCUCUGCUCUGAGACUUUAAACAGCUGGAAAAUGCAUGACUUGACAUGCAUUAGAUCUGACAGCAUGUGAAUCCACUGUUCAAAAGUACUUAAUACCUAUUUAAUUUUCUUUUUUUGGGCAUUUUAUUUUCUUGUCCUUAAAUAAUCACCACAGUAAUCAAAAGCAUUUAUGAAUUACUGAAGUGGAACUCGAAAUACUUAAGAGCCGAUUGAUUGCUUGGAUAAACAAAUGCCAAAGUUCAGGAGAAGGUCAGAAAGUUGAGUGUUGUCUUUUAUUUUGAAGAGCUCAGUCUUUAAAUUGCACACAUUUGUCCUUGAAC